GUUCCCCCUCCCAUUCCAGAGAGGGGCGAGAACUGAGAGGCGGGUUUCGCGCGCAGCAAGUUCGCACUGACGCUUCCCGGGAUGCGGGGAUCCAGGACUGAUUUCCUGUUGCUGAGAAGAAUAGUUCCCGAGUGAAUAUCUGAAAAGCUGAAUAUCAGCUAUGGUAGUGCUUUCUUGCCCUCGGACCAAAACUUUAAUAAGGGUUCCCAAACAAAUGACAUGACGGAAUUAUGUGGAACCUCUAACAAAACAGAAUGGCAAUAAACCAAAUGCAACGAAAGGAUACAGCCUUUCUGUUCUGAUUUUUAAAAUAAGCCAUCAGCAGCCCAGGGCAUCGGCACCUUAAAUUCACCGUGUCAGAUGUUUCUUUAAUACUGGAGGCUAAUCAUGCCUCAAUCAAAAGAACAAGGUCUUUUAAAUUUACAACUUUCCCGAAGUCAUUUUGGAGUGAAUACUAAUUACGAAUGUCCUUGAAGUACAUCUGAUUUUGAAAGACCAUGGAGAGGAUUUGCUCGUUGGCAACAAAUUCAGUUGGGCAGACAUACAACUGUUAGAAGCGAUUUUAAUGGUGGAAGAACUCGAUGCUUCUGUUCUUUCUGACUUCCCUUUGCUAAAGUGCCUACUGGACAACUCUGCCCCCCUUUAGUGACCCUGAUGCCGAGGACACCCCACCAUUUCCCUCCAUUGCUCAGAGAUUCUGCCUGGGUGUCCCUGCCUGUCUCCUGCUGUUGCUGGUCCUUAGACCUCCCUCUCUCAAUCUUGCCACUGCCAGACCAGAGCUGGCCUCUCUUCCAAUUCCUUAGAAACAUUUUAUCUAAGAGGUGACCAUAGGUUUUGUGGUUUAAGAAUAGUAUUUUUUUCUUACUACCAAAGAAAUGAAAGUUCAGGUCUUUACGUUAGGCAUUUGUAUGAAACAAAAGAAGAAAAGACCUAACUAGCCAAAUGCUACUACUGGAUUAGACUCUGAUCUAUUAUUUUACAUUUUUCCUCAAAAUAAGAUCAUACUAAAUAUUGUUUUGUGGCCCCCUUUUAACAUUUAAAAAAAUUAUCAUGAAUGUUUUGACAGGUCAGCAAAUAUUCUUCUACAAUAUCAUUUUAUUUUCAUUAGGCAAUAGAGUCACAUCUUUUUGAAUAAUCAGAACUAUAUAAAAAGGACAUAAACUGAGAAAGCUUAUUUCCCACCACCGCCCUCCCACCUUUCUGCUCCUAUAAUCACUUUUAUUGGUUUCCUGUGUAACUUCCCAGUGUUCCUAUUUAUGCAGAUACAAGCAAAUAUGAAUAGCUAUUUCUCUCUCAUCCCCAUCCCUGGCUUUCUUACACAAAACAGCAAAUAUAUUCUGUUCUGCCCUGGACUUUUUUUUUUUUUCUUUUCCCUUUCUUUAAACUAAACCGUGCAUUCUAGAGCUCUUUCCCUGUCAAUACAGGGACCUUCCUCUUUCUUUUUAUAUAUAAGUCAUUUUAAAUUACUGGCUUAUAUACCUUGUAAGGACAUACCAUAGUUUAUAUGACCAGUUUUCUUUUCUUGGAAACAUAGGUUAUUUCCACAUUUUCACCCUACUAACAUUCUUUUUUUUUUUUAAGAUUUUAUUUAUUUAUUUGACAGACAGAGAGAGAGCCCACAAGUAGGAGGAUCAGCAGAGGGAGAGGGAGAAGCAGGGUUCCGCUGAGCAGGGAGCCCGACGUGGGGCUCGAUUCCAGGACCCUGGGAUCAUAACGUGAGCCGAAGGCAGACACUUAACUGACUGAGCCACCCAGGCACCCCCACCCUGCUAACAUUCUUAACAUGAUUUCUUUGCUCGCGCCUUACGCGAUUUCUUUGCUCACCCUUAUAAUAAAUUCCUAGAACAGGAAUCGAUAGGUCAAAGAAUAUGAAUUUUUAAUUUUUUAUUUAUUUAUUUAUUUAUUUAAAAGAUUGUAUUUAUUUAUUUGACAGAGACACAGCGAGAGAGGGAACACAAGCAGGGGGAGUGGGAGAGGGAGAAGCAGGCUCCACGCAGAGCAGGGAGCCCGAUGUGGGACUCGAUCCCAGGACCCUGGGAUCAUGACCUGAGCCGAAGGCAGUCGCUUAACCGAC